CUCUGUAUUAAUUGUAGUAAUUUUUACCAUAUAUCACUGUAUUUGCCUAGUUUAUUCAGUGUUUUGUUGUUUUUCUGUUUUGUUUCCUACUGUUUGUAUUCUCUGGGAGCCCUACUGGCUCCCUCAUUCCCUCACCACAGUUUGCUAUCCCCUCAGCCUUCUGGUAGGGUUGUUUAUUUCCCGACGUAUUUCCUCUGCCUGCACAGAACCUGUGACUCUCUCACUGCCGGGUACCGCUAUUUCAGCAGCCCCGGUGGGUCCCAAGAGCACAUUGCAGCACCCAUCUUGCGGUUGGCAGUUUUGCCGUGGCCAAUAUCGCUUGUUUGGGGGCGGGGUUAACCCGCUUGGUUGGCUGUGUUGCUGGGCAACCUAACGGUGUUCCUGAGGGAACUCUAAGUGAGCCUGUUUUCCUUUGGUCAUUGUGCCUAGGAGCCUUCCCGCUAUUCAGCUAAAUACUGUCAGUGCCUACAUAUUCUUUUUCACUGCCACUAUGGUACUGUUAUCCAGCACUGUGGGUAUGAGCUCCCUACUCUAUCCUCAGGGUAAUUUUCUC